rnacentral:rRNA from 1 species
UACGUAGGGUCCGAGCGUUGUCCGGAAUUACUGGGCGUAAAGAGCUCGUAGGUGGUUUGUCGCGUUGUUCGUGAAAACUCACAGCUCAACUGUGGGCGUGCGGGCGAUACGGGCAGACUGAGAGUACUGCAGGGGAGACUGGGAAUUCCUGGUGUAGCGGUGGAAUGCGCAGAUAUCAGGAGGAACACCGGUGGCGAAGGCGGGUCUCUGGGCAGUAACUGACGCUGAGGAGCGAAAGCGUGGGGAGCGAACAGG